UGCCUUCAAAAAACUGUGCGCCUGUAGUUGCUGAGAUGAAAGCAUUUGAGGAAGACGUCAUUCAUCUAGUGUCAAAUGUCAAAUUCAGAAAGAUCUCGGAUCCGUUUUUGAACAAUAUCGCUGUAGACCUGGAGAAAGUUAAUUCUUCUCAAAAUGUUUUAAUAUUUGCCGACAAAACAAGAAAUGUCUAUAAAGCUACAACCGAAACAUAUAACAAACUAUUGACUGACAACAUAACGAAAACAUAUAAAUUGGGAAGCGACGAUAUAUCUGAUGUUAUCAAUUCUGAACUAAAGAAUAUAACGAGCAAUCUGUCGAUCGCGGAUCGUGUCGACACAAUGGCGAGAAAAAACGCGUUCAUAACUCUCAAAGACCAUAAAGAGAAUUUCGACUCUAACCCCAAAUGCCGCCUUAUCAAUCCAUCGAAAAGCGAACUAGGAAAGGUUAGCAAGAUAAUACUCGAUGACAUUAACAACAAAAUUAGAUCAACCUUAAGUUUGAGUCAGUGGAAAAAUACAGAAUCCGUAAUCAGCUGGUUCCAAGCCAUCAACGAUAAACAUAAUCACACGUUCCUUUCCUUUGAUAUCGUUGAGUUUUACCCGUCUAUAUCCGAGCAUCUCCUUGACGAAGUUAUUUCAUGGGCCCAAACAUUAACUGACAUUACGGAUCAGCACAUUUCUAUUAUUAAGCACGCAAGAAAAUCCUUACUUUUUCAUGAUGAGAAAACGAGGGUAAAAAGAAACAACCAAUCUCUAUUCGACGUAGCAAUGGGAAGUUACGAUGGAGCCGAGGUAUGUGAGCUGGUCGGACUAUUCAUUUUGAAUAAGCUUUCUGAGGAAUUUGGAAAGAAUAACAUUGGACUAUAUCGAGAUGAUGGCUUAAUGUUGUUGAGUGGAACCGGAAAAAGAUUGGCAGACAACGCUCGAAAGUCUCUACACUGCAUAUUUCACAAACUUGGCUUUAAGAUCACUGCCGAAGUUAACAACCAAAUCGUCAAUUACUUGGACGUAACCUUCAAUCUGCAAACAGGGAGAUAUUCAGCUUACAGAAAACCCAAUAACGACCCUCUCUAUAUAGACAGCCGGUCAAAUCACCCCCCUUCUAUCAUCAAGCAUGUCCCAGAAUCCAUAAGCAAAAGAAUAUCUAGCUUAUCCUCUGAUCAAUUAUCUUUUGAUUCAUCAGCAGCAUGGUAUGAAGACGCACUUCACCGCAGCAAUUACAACGUCAAACUCCAAUAUUCAACCAAUAGUACCGGCGACACCCCAACACCAAGCAGAAAAAAACGACAAAGAAAGGUGAUAUGGUUUAACCCGCCCUUCAGUAAGAACGUAAAAACCAACGUGGCACAUAGCUUCUUACAACUCAUCGACAAGCACUUCCCCCAUUCAACUCGACUCCAUAAAAUCUUUAACCGGAACACUGUGAAAGUGAGUUAUUCCUGCAUGACCAACAUUAAGAACACUAUAUCCAACCACAAUCGACAUCUACUGGUAAGAAAGAACAAAUCUUUCGAUGGAUGUAAUUGCCGCAACAAGGACGAAUGCCCUCUCGAUGGUAAUUGUCUUACGAAAAGCAUCGUAUAUAAGGCUGAGAUUACAACAACAGACGCCGGUGAAACGAAAGAGUAUAUUGGUAUGACAGCAGGGAGGUUUAAAGCAAGAUACGCCAACCACAAGAAAUCCAUCAACUCACCUCGCUAUUCAAACGAAACCGAACUUUCUAAGUACGCAUGGAAGCUAAAACAAAGUAACCGACCGUAUACUAUAAAGUGGUCGGUUUUGUCGCAUGCAUCAGCAUAUACAGCAGGUGCAAAUUCUUGCAACCUUUGCUUAGAGGAGAAGUUUUAUAUAAUUAAAUCUCACAAAGAUAGGACGUUGAACAAACGAACAGAACUAUUUUCAAAGCGCCGCCACAGAAACUCAUUUAGCGCGCGGAAUUUUAAACGCACGCGCGCAUGAUGCAAUCGCGUCAGCGGACCGUUGAAUGAAUGGCGCAAGCAAACUAUUUAGAGUAGUAUCGCCUGAAGAUCGCUUUGAAAGCGUGAAACACUGUGUAGCGAUUAAUAAAAUUUUAAGAUUAUAACUAGUAUAUUUUGCUCUAUCAAUUAAAUUUGUUAUUGAGCACUCUUUUUGUACAACGGAC
rnacentral:lncRNA from 1 species